rnacentral:rRNA from 1 species
UACGAGGGGGGCAAGCGUUGUUCGGAAUUAUUGGGCGUAAAGGGCGCGUAGGCGGUUUGGCAAGUUUGGUGUGAAAUCUUCGGGCUCAACUCGAAGUCUGCAUCGAAAACUGCCGGGCUUGAGUAUGGGAGAGGUGAGUGGAAUUUCCGGUGUAGCGGUGAAAUGCGUAGAUAUCGGAAGGAACACCUGUGGCGAAAGCGGCUCACUGGACCAUAACUGACGCUGAGGCGCGAAAGCUAGGGGAGCAAACAGG